CUUAUGUGGGUUUGUUGAUCAAGGACUUUGCAUCUUUUUCUUUUGUAUUGUUAUGAAAAUAUAUCAAUGAAUAAGAUGCAAAGUCUUACUUGAUCAACAAACUCACGAA
rnacentral:pre_miRNA from 1 species